GGCCUCGCUGCAGGAGCGCAUCCCUCUGUGAGCGGCGGCUGGUCGGGUCUCGACCACGUGGACGGCGGCGCACGCGGGCCGCUUGGGGCAGCGCCGGGCUGCAGGGUGACGUGACGGGGACCGCUUCUGCGCCCUGUGCUAGCCGUGACGCCCGGGCGUCAGCUCCAUCUCCCCUAGACUGUGCCCGGCUGUGGGACGGGCGCCGCCGGGACUACGCUUUCUCUCGCCCCCGCGCUCCUCGCCGAGGCCCCCGAAGGCGGCGACCCGGGCCUUUCGAGCAUCUGACGCCGUUGUCUAGCAAGGCUCGGAGUGCGACACGGAGCCACAGGCGACCCCGCCCAGGCUGAGCCCUCGGGACCCGCCCUGGUCACCCUUAUCUCAGGGACCCGCUCGGCCCACUCGGUCCCCCGGUGGUGGCAGGGGCAGCAGCACGGAUGAAUACGGCCCAGGGCUGUGUGACCUUCGAGGACGUGUUCGUGUACUUCUCCCGGGAGGAAUGGGAGCUCCUUGAGGAGGCCCAGAGACUUCUGUACCGCGAUGUGAUGCUGGAGAACUUUGCGCUUGUGUCCUCCCUGGGACUUGCAGUUUCCAGGUCCCAUGUUGUUUCCCAGAUGGAGCCGGAGGGAAGCCCAGGGUGCCUGAGAAGGUAGACGCAGCCGCAGCUGCAGCCAAGAAGGCUCGGUCGGCGGCACGCAGCGAAGGACAAGGCUCUACCCUCUGACACUUCUGACACUGUGACAGCGGUGUCACAGAUGAGAACUCCUCAGGCACGUCCUGCCCCCUGAGAGGCUCACCCCUGUGACAUGUGUGGCCCGGUCUGGACAGACAUCUUUGCACCUGGCUGAGCCAAAGGGAACACCAUCCAGGCAACAGGCCAACCCCAACACUUGAGUCACUAUAGCUGAGACUCCUGGGUAGUAUAGACCUUGACCAGAUGCAGAAGCAGCAAAGUGGAGAAAAUGUCUUCAGAAAGUAAGGGACCAGGCCUGCCUGGUUUGUGAAGAUCGGCAGCCGCCGUGUGUCAGAGAAGGCCUUCACCUGCAGGCCGGGUGGGAGGGCUCUGUUUCCCGCUGUGGACCUGGCAGGCACCACGCCCCUUGCGGUGGGUGAAAACCACACUAGGGCCCUGAGUGCGGUGGGCCUUCUGCAUAGCAGGUUUACUUUAGGCAGGAAAGCACAAGCUGAGGCCAUAAAGCCUUCGGCUUGUUGGAGGCGGCCUCACUCCAGGCUUGCUUGACUCAGAGCUUCUUGGGGGCCGCGUGGUUGGGGCGAGCCGGAAUAGUGAGGGCCAACGGAGAGUGUCCUCGAGAAGGUGAGCUCCAAGCCCAGCUAAUCUGCCUUCAGGCCUUCCACGGGAGCGAGUCUCCGUGCGGCACCAUUCCUGAACCACUCACUCGGGCCACGGAAAGCAUCCAUGGCGUAUGGGAAGGGGAAGGUUCGACACGUGUUGGCCUGUUCGGUAACGGCACGUUGUGCCGCAGGGAGGCCUGGGACUGCACCAGAUGUGAGAACGCCUUUCUUGAGAGAGCAGACCUCGGUCAGCACACGAGGACUUACCUCAGGCGACGCCGAGGGAGAGCUUCCAGAUGCCAGAGGGCCCUCGGCUGCGGGCCAGACCUCCUGUGGCACCAGCAGAUUCACACUGGGAGAAGGCCUAUGACUGUCAGAAACGGAGGAGAGGCGAGGACGGCUCUGCUUUGGUCCAGAAUUGUCUUCCCCACCCUAGAGAAAGUGUUUUCAAGUACAAAGAAGUGUACUUGUGACCACUGUUCUCCUGCAAGUCGCAUAAGAGUUCUCCCAGGAGAGAAGCCGUGAGUGCGGUGACGAGGAAAGGCCCCCGGUCACCGCUUUUAUUUCUGGCGUCGUAGGGGCCUCACUGCAGGAAAACUCUGGGAGUGUAAAGACGAUCAGAGACCCUUCUGUGACCGCUCUUUUCUAAGUCAGCACAAGGAGUCACAGUGGGGAAAACUGUAUGAACGCAGUGAGUGUGGACACACUCUCCGCCUUCAUUCAUCCCCCCCUCCCCAGUCUUCGUAUUGGGGAGAAAACCUGUGAGUGUCAGACGUGGGAAAGCCUUUCUCAAGUGGACUCCCUCAGUCAGCACCAGAGAACUCAUACUGAGAAGCCUUUUGAAUGUAAGUCCUGAGGAAAUUCUUUGCCAGAGGAAACCUCCUGCCCAGCAUCUGAAAAAUUAUACCAAAGAGAAACCCCGUAAGUGUCAUCAUUGUGAGAAGAUCUUUCGAAGCAGGUCAUCACUUGUUACUGGAGAUCCACCCAGCCGGGACUGUGCUCUACGAGUGAGGACGUACAAAGGAGAGAAGACCCACAGUUACUGUGGAAUUGCAGAGCCUUCAGCCCUAGCUCGGUCUUGGUAUGCUCUGAGGAGCGAUCCUGGAAUAUUUUUAAAAAGACGGCAAAAGCAUAAGGGAGGAGGAAGAAAAGAAAUAGAUUGACAGAACAAGGAAUACAUAUGGUUUCUUUCAGGUUUUCCUGCCAAACUUGUGACAGUUUUUUAUUAGGAAAAUAAACUACAUAAUCACUAAGGGUCAUAAGUCUUUGUGAUAAAUGUGAAGUCUUAAUUUAUGAAGCACUUAAAUUAGAAUACUAAAAAUAUUGUUGCCUAAAAUUAUAUCUAAGGAACAGAGGAUAAAUACAUGAAUGGGUACAUUUUACUGCACCAUUUAAGAUCAUUUAAGGUUAUUUAUUUUUUCAUUUAGUCUGUAUUGAGAUAUAAUUGACAUGUCCUAAUUGGCAUAUACCAUCAUGUAAGUUUACGGUGUACAACAUUGAUCUUGUUGAAUUUAUAUUGCGACAUGAUUGCCAUUGUAGCGUAUACUAGCCUCUGUAUCCUGGCGGUAGCCUGUGUUCCUGGUGGUAGGAACAGUUCCUUGUCUCUUGCCAAGUUUACUGUUUGUAUUCAGUUUUGUCCCUCGUAGCCGUGUACUGUGUACUCAGUGUCCAUGGCUUACUUAGGUGUGAGUGCGCACCGCUAAACAGCACCCGCCCGACGCCCCGCAGCCUGUAGUAACCGUCCUUCCACUCUGAGUUGAAUUCAGAGUUUUGUUUUUCUUUUAAGAUUCUACAUAUAAAAAAUACAGUAUUUGUAUUUUUGUGUUUGACUUACCUCACUUAGCAUAAUGUCCCCAGGGUCCAUCUGUAUUGUCAGAAAUGGCAGCAUUUCCUUUUUUCUCGUGGCCGACUAACAUGCCACUGUGUAUACACGUCCUCAUCCUUUGAUGGACACGUAAGCUGUCACUACAUCUUGUGUCUUGUGUGCGGUGCGGACAAUAAACACGGGAGUACAGAUACUCUGA